rnacentral:rRNA from 1 species
GACGUAGGGGGCGAGCGUUGUCCGGAAUUACUGGGCGUAAAGAGCACGUAGGCGGGAACUUAAGUCAGAUGUGAAAGACCGGGGCUCAACCUCGGGGUUGCAUCUGAAACUGGGUUUCUUGAGGGCAGGAGAGGACAGUAGAAUUCCUGGUGUAGCGGUGAAAUGCGUAGAAAUCAGGAGGAAUACCGGUGGCGAAGGCGACUGUCUGGACUGACCCUGACGCUGAGGUGCGAAAGCGUGGGGAGCAAAC